GUGAGGAAUAUUGGUCAAUGGGCGAGAGCCUGAACCAGCCAAGUCGCGUGAAGGAAGAAGGAUCUAUGGUUCGUAAACUUCUUUUGCAGGGGAAUAAAGUGCGGGACGUGUCCUGUUUUGUAUGUACCCUGAGAAUAAGGAUCGGCUAACUCCGUGCCAGCAGCCGCGGUAAUACGGAGGAUCCGAGCGUUAUCCGGAUUUAUUGGGUUUAAAGGGUGCGUAGGUGGUUUGAUAAGUCAGCGGUGAAAGUUUGCAGCUUAACUGUAAAAAUGCCGUUGAAACUGUCGGACUUGGGUGUAAAUGAAGUAGGCGGAAUGCGUGGUGUAGCGGUGAAAUGCAUAGAUAUCACGCAGAACUCCGAUUGCGAAGGCAGCUUACUAAGCUACAACUGACACUGAAGCACGAAAGCGUGGGGAUCAAACAGGAUUAGAAACCCUGGUAGUCC
rnacentral:rRNA from 1 species